rnacentral:rRNA from 1 species
UACGGGGGGGGCAAGCGUUGUUCGGAAUUACUGGGCGUAAAGGGUGCGUAGGCGGUUUUGUAAGUCUUGUGUGAAAUCUUCAGGCUCAACUUGAAGACUGCACGAGAAACUGCAGGGCUUGAGUGUGGGAGAGGUGAGUGGAAUUCCUGGUGUAGCGGUGAAAUGCGUAGAUAUCAGGAGGAACACCUGUGGCGAAAGCGGCUCACUGGACCACAACUGACGCUGAUGCACGAAAGCUAGGGGAGCAAACAGG